rnacentral:rRNA from 1 species
UACGUAGGGUGCAAGCGUUAAUCGGAAUUACUGGGCGUAAAGCGUGCGCAGGCGGUGAUGUAAGACAGGUGUGAAAUCCCCGGGCUCAACCUGGGAAUGGCAUUUGGGACUGCAAGGCUGGAGUACGGCAGAGGAGACUGGAAUUCCUGGUGUAGCAGUGAAAUGCGUAGAGAUCAGGAGGAAUACCGAUGGCGAAGGCAGGUCUCUGGGCUGAUACUGACGCUCAUGCACGAAAGCGUGGGGAGCAAACAGG